rnacentral:rRNA from 1 species
GACGAACGCUGGCGGCGUGCUUAACACACGCAAGUCGAACGGUGAAGGGACCGGUUUUUGCUGGUUCUGGAUGAGUGGCGCACGGGUGAGUAACACGUGAGUAACCUGCCCCCUUCUUCUGGAUAACCGCAUGAAAGUGUGGCUAAUACGGGAUAUUCUGCGCCUGCUGCAUGGUGGGUGUGGGAAAGAUAUUGUUUCGGUGGGGGAUGGGCUCGCGGCCUAUCAGCUUGUUGGUGGGGUGAUGGCCUACCAAGGCGGUGACGGGUAGCCGGCCUGAGAGGGUGGACGGUCACACUGGGACUGAGACACGGCCCAGACUCCUACGGGAGGCAGCAGUGGGGAAUAUUGCACAAUGGGCGCAAGCCUGAUGCAGCGACGCCGCGUGAGGGAUGGAGGCCUUCGGGUUGUAAACCUCUUUCGCCAGUGAAGCAGGCCUGUCCCUUUUGUGGGUGGGUUGACGGUAGCUGGAGAAGAAGCGCCGGCUAACUACGUG